GACAGAGGGGGCAAGCGUUGCUCGGAAUCACUGGGCGUAAAGGGAGCGUAGGCGGGCUUCUAAGUUAGGUGUUUAAUCCCAGGGCCCAACCCUGGUCAGGCACCUAAAACUGGGAGUCUUGAAUAGUGGAGAGGACGAUGGAAUUGGGGGUGUAGCGGUGGAAUGCGUAGAGAUCCCCAAGAACACCAGUUGCGAAGGCGGUCGUCUGGACACAUAUUGACGCUGAGGCUCGAAAGCAUGGGGAGCAAACAGG
rnacentral:rRNA from 1 species